rnacentral:rRNA from 1 species
UACAGAGGUCCCAAGCGUUGCUCGGAAUCACUGGGCGUAAAGGGUGCGUAGGCGGGUCUUUAAGUCAGGGGUGAAAUCCUGGAGCUCAACUCCAGAACUGCCUUUGAUACUGAAGAUCUUGAGUUCGGGAGAGGUGAGUGGAACUGCGAGUGUAGAGGUGAAAUUCGUAGAUAUUCGCAAGAACACCAGUGGCGAAGGCGGCUCACUGGCCCGGUACUGACGCUGAGGCACGAAAGCGUGGGGAGCAAACAGG